rnacentral:rRNA from 1 species
AGUCAAGCUAGUAAGGGCAUACGGCGGAUGCCUUGGCGCCAACAGCCGAAGAAGGACGCGGUAAGCUGCGAAAAACUGAGGGAGCCGCAAGCAGGCAUAGAUCCUCAGGUCUCCGAAUGGGGGAACCCGGAAUGCACGUCACCACGCUUUAAGCGUGAGGAGGGCACCCGGGAACGAAACAUCUAAGUACCCGGAGGAAAAGUAAUCAAACGAGAUUCCCUAGCGGGCGAGCGAACGGGGAAGAGCCCAAACCAGGGAGCUUCGGCUUCUUGGGGUUGAGGACCAGCAUAAUCUUGGUCAGGUCUAGUCGAACUACCUGGAAAGGUAGGCCACAGAAGGUAAGAGCCCUGUAGGCGAAAGACAGAGCCAAGUGGCUGGUAUCCAGAGUACCACGGGACACGAGAAACCCUGUGGGAAGCAGGGGACCACCCUCCAAGGCAAAAUACUCGUUGGCGACCGAUAGCGCAUAGUACCGUGAGGGAAAGGUGAAAAGCACCCCGGGAGGGGAGUGAAAAGUACCUGAAACCGUAUGUCUACAAGCAGUCGAAGCUGUAAAAGGCGACGGCGUGCCUAUUGAAGAAUGAACCGGCGAGUUACAGUCACUAGCGAGGUUAAGUGGGAAACACGGAGCCGCAGCGAAAGCGAGUCUUAAUAGGGCGACAGUUAGUGAUUGUAGACCCGAAACCGCAAGUGAUCUAUCCAUGACCAGGGUGAAGCGUAGGUAAAAUUACGUGGAGGCCCGAACCCGUGAGCGUUGAAAAGCUUUGGGAUGAGUUGUGGAUAGGGGUGAAAUGCCAAUCGAACGCGGAGAUAGCUGGUUCUCCCCAGAAAUAGCUUUAGGGCUAGCCUCAAGUGAUGACUUACGACGGUAGAGCUCUGAUUGGGCUAGGGGCCGUUAGGUUACCGAACUCUGUCAAACUGCGAAUGGAGUAAGUUUAACUUGGGAGUCAGACUGCGAGUGCUAAGAUCCGUAGUCAAGAGGGAAACAGCCCAGACCAUCAGCUAAGGUCCCCAAUGCCGUGCUAAGUGGCAAAGGAUGUGGCGAUACAAAAACAACCAGGAUGUUGGCUUAGAAGCAGCCACCAUUAAAAGAGUGCGUAAUAGCUCACUGGUCGAGUGUCGCUGCGCCGAAGAUGUCCGGGGCUAAAGCACGGAACCGAAGCUAUGGCUUGAACGAAAGUUCAGGGGUAGGGGAGCGUUCCUACUGGGUCGAAGUCGCAUCGAAAGGUGCGGUGGACUGGUAGGAAGUGAGAAUGCCGGUAUGAGUAGCGAAAAGGAAGGUGAGAAUCCUUCCCACCGAAAGCCUAAGGAUUCCUGAGGAAGGAUCGUCCGCUCAGGGUAAGUCGGGACCUAAGCCGAGGCGUAGAUGCGUAGGCGAUGGACAACUGGUUGAUAUUCCAGUACCACCCCAAGUCGUUUGAGUGAUGGAGUGACACAGUAAGGUAGGUAAUCGCGAGGAUGGAAAUUCGCGUCUAAACUAGUAGGGUGUUUGGGAGGCAAAUCCCCCAAACGAAAAGCCUGAGAAGUGACGGGGAGCCGAUAGCGAUAUUGGCGAACUUACUGACCCUAGACUGUCAAGAAAAGCUUCUAGCGAGACUUGUGGGUGCCCGUACCGCAAACCGACACAGGUAGGCGGGGAGAGAAUCCUAAGGUGCGCGGGAGAACCCUCGUUAAGGAACUCGGCAAAAUGUCCCCGUAACUUCGGGAGAAGGGGAGCCCUGGGACGUGUAGAUUAGAAACGAUUGAAGCGUCCUGGGGUCGCAGAAGAGAGGCCCAAGCGACUGUUUACCACAAACACAGGUGCCUGCUAAAGCGAAAGCUGACGUAUAGGUGCUGACACCUGCCCGGUGCUGGAAGGUUAAGGGGAGUGCUUAGAAGCAAUUCGAAGGUGUGAACCGAAGCCCCAGUAAACGGCGGCCGUAACUAUAACGGUCCUAAGGUAGCGAAAUUCCUUGUCGGGUAAGUUCCGACCCGCACGAAAGGUGUAACGACUUGGGCACUGUCUCAACGAGGGACCCGGUGAAAUUGAAAUACCUGUGAAGAUGCAGGUUACCCGCGACUGGACAGAAAGACCCCAUGGAGCUUUACUGCAGCCUGGCAUUGGAUUUUGGUAAAUCAUGUACAGGAUAGGUGGGAGACUUAGAAGCGAGGACGCAAGUCUUGGUGGAGUCGCCCUUGGGAUACCACCCUUGAUUUACUGGAGUUCUAACUGAAGAAGUAACGACUCUCAGGACAGUGCCAGGUGGGCAGUUUGACUGGGGCGGUCGCCUCCGAAAGUGUAACGGAGGCGCCCAAAGGUUCCCUCAGCGCGGUUGGAAAUCGCGCGCAGAGUGCAAAGGCAGAAGGGAGCUUGACUGCGAGUCAGACAAGACGAGCAGGGACGAAAGUCGGGCUUAGUGAUCCGGUGGUACCGAGUGGAAGGGCCAUCGCUCAACGGAUAAAAGCUACCCUGGGGAUAACAGGCUAAUCUCUCCCAAGAGUCCAUAUCGACGGGGAGGUUUGGCACCUCGAUGUCGGCUCAUCACAUCCUGGGGCUGAAGUAGGUCCCAAGGGUUGGGCUGUUCGCCCAUUAAAGUGGUACGUGAGCUGGGUUCAGAACGUCGUGAGACAGUUCGGUCCCUAUCCAUCGCGGGCGUAAGAGACUUGAGGGGAACUGCUCCUAGUACGAGAGGACCGGAGUGGACUGACCAAUGGUGUACCAGUUAUCCCGCCAGGGGUACAGCUGGGUAGCUACGUCGGGAACGGAUAAACGCUGAAAGCAUCUAAGCGUGAAACCGGCCUCAAGAUGAGGUCUCUCACAGCGUAAGCUGGUAAGGCCCCUUGUAGAACACGAGGUUGAUAGGCCAGGAGUGUAAGGGCAGUAAUGUCUUCAGCUGACUGGUACUAAUAGGCCGAGGGCUUGACUUA